UCCCAUUCCUGCUGGUGAUUUCCCAGUGCUUGUUUUCCAUGGACCAAACCCAACUGGAAGUCAAAGGGCAGAAGAAUCAAGCAGAGCCCAGGUCCCAGAAGGACAGAGUAUGGAUCUGGAGGGGGAAACGUCUUUGAAAAAGUUGCCUGCUGUUCAUGUCUCCAGUUCUUAUCCUGCCUCAACCCACAGCAUCCUGGCAUCAGCCUCUACCAAGACGAGAAAACAAUGUUGACCAAGGUCACUGAUGAUGUCCAUACUAUGAAAGCCAGUGGAUGUGGCCCUUUCCUCUAUGUAUUUGUUAUCACACAGUAGCAAUUGUUCAUUGUUAACAAAAAAAGUUAGAAAAAGCACUUCUGGUCAAGAUGAUGUUGG
rnacentral:lncRNA from 1 species